GACGAACGCUGGCGGCGCGCUUAACACAUGCAAGUCGAGCGAGAACCAGGGCUUCGGCCCUGGGGACAGCGGCGAACGGGUGAGUAACACGUGGAUAACCUGCCCUCGGCACCGGGAUAGCCCGGGGAAACCCGGAUUAAUACCGGAUGGCCCUUCCGGCUCACGAGCCGGUCGGAAAAGGUAGCUUCGGCCUCCGGCCGAGGAUGGGUCCGCGGCGGAUUAGCUUGUUGGUGGGGUAACGGCCCACCAAGGCUCCGAUCCGUAGCUGGUCUGAGAGGACGAGCAGCCACACUGAGACUGAGACACGGCCCAGACUCCUACGGGAGGCAGCAGUGGGGAAUCUUGCGCAAUGGGCGAAAGCCUGACGCAGCGACGCCGCGUGAGGGAGGAAGGCCUUCGGGUUGUAAACCUCUUUCAGGAGGGACGAAGCUACUCGGGUGAAUAGCCCAGAGGGUGACGGUACCUCCAGAAGAAGCCCCGGCUAACUACGUGCCAGCCGCCGCGGUAA
rnacentral:rRNA from 1 species